UACGAAGGGGGCUAGCGUUGCUCGGAAUCACUGGGCGUAAAGCGCACGUAGGCGGACUCUUAAGUCAGGGGUGAAAUCCUGGAGCUCAACUCCAGAACUGCCUUUGAUACUGAGAGCCUUGAGUCCGGAAGAGGUAAGUGGAACUGCGAGUGUAGAGGUGAAAUUCGUAGAUAUUCGCAAGAACACCAGUGGCGAAGGCGGCUUACUGGUCCGGUACUGAUGCUGAGGUGCGAAAGCGUGGGGAGCAAACAGG
rnacentral:rRNA from 1 species